GGAGGGAUCGCAUAGUGGUCUAGUGCGGUUGCUUGGAGAGCAACUAACCCUGAAAGGGGUUCGCGAGUUCGAAUCUCGCUCCCUCCG
rnacentral:tRNA from 3 species